AUUGAACGCUGGCGGCAGGCCUAACACAUGCAAGUCGAGCGAGCGGCGGACGGGUGAGUAAUGUCUGGGAAACUGCCUGAUGGAGGGGAUAACUACUGGAAACGGUAGCUAAUACCGCAUACCAUCAGAUGUGCCCAGAGUGGAUUAGCUAGUAUGUGGGGUAACGGCCCACCUAGGCGACGAUCCCUUGCUGGUCCGAGAGGAUGACCAGCCACACUGGAACUGAGACACGGUCCAGACUCCUACGGGAGGCGGCAGUGGGGAAUAUUGAACAAUGAGCGAAAGGCGGAUGCAGCCAUGCCGGGUGUGAAGAAGGCCUUCGGGUUGUAAAGCACUUUCAGCGGGGAGGCGUUACCCGCAGAAGAAGCACCGGCUAACUCCGUGCCAGCAGCCGCGGUAAUUC
rnacentral:rRNA from 1 species